CAGCAACAAAUUUUGAACGAUGUUACAAGGAGCUCAGGCUUUCAGAACUUUAACGUGGGAGUACUGUAUUUAAAUGCAUCAGUAUGCCCUACCUAAAAGCUAGUCUGCAUAUGACAAGGGAGGUAAACUUAAAAAUGCCAAAGAUAUUACAACUCUUUCUUCCUGGGAAAUUACUGGCAAAGUUUUAUUAGCUAGAAUUUAACCAUAUGUCUCCAAAUCAUGAUUACUACACUUGUACUUUGUCUAUGCUGAAUAGACGAAAUAAAGAACAAAAUCACAAUUAGUUUCAAAGGAACCUGUUCAACUCCUCUGGCCACAGCACAAAGAUGUCAUGGUUAGUUAUGGUUUGUAAUGAGUUCAUGGAAAACAGAAUAAACGACAGACUAAAGUGAGCGACUGGAUAAAUGAAGUCUUUUACCAGCCAAAUUGUACAAAUACCAUCAAAUCCAAGCAAAGUAAAGAGAUAAGCAGGAAACAGGUUCUUGGUAAGAACUAAACUAACUAAAUAAAACUAACUAAAUAAAACCCACCUGAAUUUAGACACAUAUAAACCUCAAACAAUACAAAUACAGAGAGUUUGCAUUCUCCAGUAGGUUUCUGUGAUAGAUGUAAAGCGUACAUUUUGAUAUAUAUAUAUAUAUAUUUUUCUGAUUCUAUAUUGCUUAACUCAUAAACUCUUUCAGUUUCUUAUAUACACUACACAGAUAUGUGCACUUACUUAUUGUCACUUUCUUAAUUAUCUAGUCUCUGGUGAAACUAAACAUUCAGAAGCAAAUUGGAAACUGCCCAGUACUAUUGGUGCUAACUACUGGGAGAGCCCAGGAAACAGGUGAAGAGCUGAGCUGAGAACAGAGGGCUUCAUCAAAAUCAUACAAGUGGGACACUAAUGGACAAGUUAAUUAACAUUUCCUGCUCCAGGAGGGAAAAAGGUACAUGCAACAAAGCUGUUAAACUUGUCAUCUUAAAUGAACUGAAGAUGAGGACUGAUAUAUAAAAAUAUCUGCAGCACAUGCAUAUCACAGUAUUGCCACAGAAGAAAUUCUUCCAUCUCAGCCUGCAGAUUGCUUGGAUUCAUGAGGAACAGAAAAAUACAUAACGAUAUGCUGAUUAUCAUAUGUUCACUUUUAGAGUGACUGAAUAAGGUUAUAUUGGUGAGAAAUUAAAUCUGAUAUUGAAUUUGAGGUGUAUAGAUAAGUGGGAGUUUCUCUCUGUAAUAUCUGCUCCAUGAAGUUGCCAGAGCCUCAUCAACUAGCAGUUAUAAACACUGAGAACUUUUGUAUUUUUGUUUGUUUGGUUGGUUGGUUUUUCUUUCCCCAGCUUUUAUAUUAAUAUCUAUUUUUUUUUUUCAUUAUUGUUUAACUAGAUUUUAAGUGUUUUCAGGGCAAUUCCUGCUUUGUCACUUGCAGGGAAUGAUUUCAAAUUGACAUCUCAACAAUAAAAGCAAUUUCAUUAAUGUUUAAACUAGAAUA
rnacentral:lncRNA from 1 species